AGGAAGGCAGACCCAGGGAACUGAAACAUCUAAGUACCUGGAGGAAGAGAAAGAAAAAUCGAUUUCCUGAGUAGCGGCGAGCGAAACGGAAAGAGCCCAAACCAAGAAGCUUGCUUCUUGGGGUUGUAGGACACUCUAUACGGAGUUACAAAAGAAAGUUAUAAAUGAAGCGGUCUGGAAAGGCCCGCCAAAGACGGUAACAGCCCGGUAGUUGAAAUGGCUUUCCCUCCAGAGUGGAUCCUGAGUACGGCGGAACACGUGAAAUUCCGUCGGAAUCCGGGAGGACCAUCUCCCAAGGCUAAAUACUCCCUAGUGACCGAUAGUGAACCAGUACCGUGAGGGAAAGGUGAAAAGCACCCCGGAAGGGGAGUGAAACAGUUCCUGAAACCGUGUGCCUACAAGUAGUUAGAGCCCGUUAAUGGGUGAUAGCGUGCCUUUUGUAGAAUGAACCGGCGAGUUACGAUUUGUUGCAAGGUUAAGCGGAAAAAGCGGAGCCGUAGCGAAAGCGAGUCUGAAUAGGGCGCAUAAGUAACAGGUCGUAGACCCGAAACCAGGUGAUCUACCCAUGUCCAGGAUGAAGGUAAGGUAAUACUUACUGGAGGUCCGAACCCACGCACGUUGAAAAGUGCGGGGAUGAGGUGUGGGUAGCGGAGAAAUUCCAAUCGAACUUGGAGAUAGCUGGUUCUCUCCGAAAUAGCUUUAGGGCUAGCCUCGAGGUAAAGAGUCAUGGAGGUAGAGCACUGUUUGGACUAGGGGCCCUUCUCGGGUUACCGAAUUCAGAUAAACUCCGAAUGCCAUGUACUUAUACUCGGGAGUCAGACUGCGAGUGAUAAGAUCCGUAGUCGAAAGGGAAACAGCCCAGACCACCAGUUAAGGUCCCCAAAUAUAUGUUAAGUGGAAAAGGAUGUGGGGUUGCUUAGACAACCAGGAUGUUGGCUUAGAAGCAGCCACCAUUGAAAGAGUGCGUAAUAGCUCACUGGUCGAGUGACCCCGCGCCGAAAAUGUACCGGGGCUAAACAUAUUACCGAAACUGUGGAUGAACCUCUUUAGAGGUUCGUGGUAGGAGAGCGUUCUAAGGGCGGUGAAGUCAGACCGGAAGGACUGGUGGAGCGCUUAGAAGUGAGAAUGCCGGUAUGAGUAGCGAAAGAAGGGUGAGAAUCCCUUCCACCGAAUAUCUAAGGUUUCCUGAGGAAGGCUCGUCCGCUC
rnacentral:rRNA from 1 species